rnacentral:rRNA from 1 species
GGUUUCUGCUGCUUGCAGAUACAUUUUCUGCCACCGAAUACAUUAGCAUGGGAUAAUGGAAUAGGACCCUGUCCUCCUAUUUUCAGUUGGUUUUGGCAGCGCGAGGACUAGGGUAAUGAUUAAUAGGGAUAGUUGGGGGCAUUAAUAUUUAAUUGUCAGAGGUGAAAUUCUUGGAUUUAUGAAAGAUUAACUUCUGCGAAAGCAUCUGCCAAGGAUGUUUUCAUUAAUCAAGAACGAAAGUUAGGGGAUCGAAGACGAUCAGAUACCGUCGUAGUCUUAACCAUAAACGAUGCCGACCAGCGAUUAGGAGACGUUGAAUACAAAACACCACCAUCGGCGCGGUCGUCCUUGGCGUCUCUGUCCCUUUCAACGGGGGCAGGCGCGAGGGCGGUUUAGCCCGGUGGCACCGGUGAAUGACUCCCUAGACAUUGUGAGAA